rnacentral:lncRNA from 1 species
UGCCACCAAAGUCGAUUCCUUAGGCAGAGCCUCAUACAACCUUCUCCAGUUCCAAAGUCGUGUUUAGGCUUAGCUAAACACAGCUGUGUCUGUCUUCUAAAUACAAGGACAUCUGGCAGUGUGGGUGGUGGCAUCAACCUAUGGAAGACAGGACUCAAGCAAGAUGGGGUACUCCUCCUAAGACAAAGGCUGCUUACCAUGGUGACAGCAUGCUAUCUUGACAGGGUCACUCCAGGGCACACCUGGGAAACCUGAGUAGAGAGGGUUAGCCAGAUGAAUUCAGUGGGUCCCACCUGACUUGCCUAAGAUAAGGAAAUUGUGAGCACCCUACAUAUGACACAUAAAACAAUUUUUAUGUAACUUGAAUUUACCUGUAAAAGUUAAACCCGGAAAUACAAAAACUAGUAUGUAAAACAUCUAAUAUGAUAAGCCUUAAAUGUGUAAUAUAAAUUAUAAAGUGGCAUACUUUCUCCUGUAUGACAGAGAGAAUUCCUGAGCAUAAUAAAGUAGGGAAGAGUGUCUAGGUGGGAAAGAUUGUCUAUGUUAUAUAUUAUAUAUUAUAUAUUAUAUUACAUAUUACAUAUUACAUAUUACAUAUUAUAUAUUAUAUAUAUUAAGAGUUUAGGGGGCUAGAGCAGUGGUUCCCAGCCUUCCUAGUGCUGUAACCCUUAAUACAGUUUCUCUUGAAGUGGUAACCCGCCCCCUACCCCCAGCCACAAAAUUAUUUGGUUGCUACUUCAUAGCUGUAAUUUUGCUACUGAUAGGAAUUAUAAUGUAAGAAUCCGUGUUUGUUGACGGUCUUAGGUGACCCCUUUGAAAGGGUCGUUCUACUCCAGAAGGCUCCCGACCCACAGGUUGAGAACUGCUGGGCCAGCAGGAUGGCUCAGCAGUGAAGAGUGCGCACUGCUCUUGCAGAAGGCCCGAGUUUGGUUCCCAGAAGCCUCUUUAGUGCCUCACAACCGCCUGGAACUUCAGCUCUAGGGGAUCUGCUGCUUCCGGCCUCCGUGGCCUUCAUGUGCACGCUGACCCUCCACACAUAUCCACAUACAUAUAGCUUAAAGAAGAUAACAUACAUCUUAAAUAGAUUCUGUAAGUUUAAAAACACCAUGAAUAAAAUUAAGGCAUUAACACAUAACCGAGGAAAUAUCAGUAACAAAUAUAACGGGAAGACAGUCUUGGUAACUUCUGAGACUCUAAAAUGAAUGCAUGAGACAUUCCAGAGCCCCUACUAAGUAAAUGCACAAAGGGCCUGAAGAGAGAGCCCUCAGAAGAGGAAAGAGACGAAAAGACAUACAAGCAAUAGGUGACCAAAUGAGACUGUAGUCUCACUAAUCAAAUGAAUGUAAAUCAAAAUGAUGAGCAGCCUUUCCCACGUGCGCUGCAAACACUGAAAGAGAAACCUGGUACUACUCCCUUUUAGUGAUGGUAUAGAGAAAUGGAUUUUUCCAUACAUUGAUGUCACAUUGGUCAUUCCCCAGAGAGCCGUGACCUUUAUAACAAGAGUCCCCAGAAGAGUUCAUAUCACUUAAACUAUUACCUGCAUUUUAGGAAGCAUAAUAUAAGGAAAUGAUACUGAAAUACCCAAAAAGCCAGGUGUCAGGAUAUUGUUGCGGCGUUAUUUAUACUUCUAUAAGACUGAAGUUAACGUAAGCAUAGAACAGAGUGAAGAGGGAUGAGCUGUCCUGUACAGUGGAUCAGUUUGUGCCUGUGUUAUCCAUCACUGGGGGCAAAGCAGGUAGCCCAGGGAAAGAAAGUGCCCUUAGCAUGUGUUAAGUCCUGGACUAAAUCCACAGCACC